UGAGUAACACGUGGGCAACCUGCCUGUAAGAUCGGGAUAACUUGCGGAAACGUGAGCUAAUACCGAAUAAUUUCUUUUCUCGCAUGAGGAAAGACUAAAAGACGGCUUCGGCUGUCACUUACAGAUGGGCCCGCGGCGCAUUAGCUAGUUGGUGAGGUAAGAGCUCACCAAGGCGACGAUGCGUAGCCGACCUGAGAGGGUGAUCGGCCACACUGGGACUGAGACACGGCCCAGACUCCUACGGGAGGCAGCAGUAGGGAAUCUUCCGCAAUGGACGCAAGUCUGACGGAGCAACGCCGCGUGAGUGAAGAAGGUUUUCGGAUCGUAAAACUCUGUUGUCAGGGAAGAAUAAGUAUUGGAGUAACUGCCGGUACCUUGACGGUACCUGACCAGAAAGCCACGGCUAACUACGUGCCAGCAGCCGCGGUAAUACGUAGGUGGCAAGCGUUGUCCGGAAUUAUUGGGCGUAAAGCGCGCGCAGGCGGUCUUUUAAGUCUGAUGUGAA
rnacentral:rRNA from 1 species